ACCUACUCGGUAUAUUCUAGAAAGAAAAAAAAGAUACUGAUAAAGAGGAUCAUGUUUAAAAAAAAUUAAAGUCAAUAUUAUGGGCAUUUUAGUGUAGCCCAUUCUUUUUUGUACCACAAAGGAGAUCCUACACACGCUAAUUAAGCAUAUCUUAAGUGGUUCGGUCCGCCGUGCUGAAACAAGACUUGGGAUGUUUUUUUAGUGGGAGUGACGUAUUUUUACACUCAUCAACUGUAUGAGGGGUGAUGUCAACAUCAAGUUCUGCCGGUUCAAUCUCUCAGAUCAGAUGCUCACAAGGAUAGGAUGUAUGUGUGUGCAGUCUCUCAGAGGUGCUCACAAGGAUGGCAUGUGUGUGCGC
rnacentral:lncRNA from 1 species